AUAGGGGAGCCGUAGAGAAAUCGAGUCCGAACAGGGCGACAGUCGCUGGGUGUAGACCCGAAACCAGAUGAUCUAUCCAUGGCCAGGAUGAAGGUGCGGUAACACGCCCUGGAGGUCCGAACCCACUAGUGUUGAAAAACUAGGGGAUGAGCUGUGGAUAGGGGUGAAAGGCUAAACAAAUCUGGAAAUAGCUGGUUCUCUCCGAAAACUAUUUAGGUAGUGCCUCAAGUAUCACCAUCGGGGGUAGAGCACUGUUAUGGCUAGGGGGUCAUUGCGACUUACCAAACCAUUGCAAACUCCGAAUACCGAUGAGUGCGAGCUUGGGAGACAGACGUCGGGUGCUAACGUCCGGCGUCAAGAGGGAAACAACCCAGACCGCCAGCUAAGGUCCCAAAGAUUGGCUAAGUGGAAAACGAAGUGGGAAGGCUAAAACAGUCAGGAUGUUGGCUUAGAAGCAGCCAUCAUUUAAAGAAAGCGUAAUAGCUCACUGAUCGAGUCGUCCUGCGCGGAAGAUGUAACGGGGCUAAGCCAGUCACCGAAGCUGCGGAUAUCCGCAAGGAUAUGGUAGGAGAGCGUUCUGUAAGCCUGCGAAGGUGUCUUGUAAAGGAUGCUGGAGGUAUCAGAAGUGCGAAUGCUGACAUGAGUAGCGAUAAUGGGGGUGAAAAGCCUCCACGCCGUAAGCCCAAGGUUUCCUGUUCAACGUUCAUCGGAGCAGGGUGAGUCGGCCCCUAAGGCGAGGCAGAGAUGCGUAGCUGAUGGGAAGCAGGUUAAUAUUCCUGCACCGUCGUAUGAUGCGAUGGGGGGACGGAUCGCGGAAGGUUGUCUGACUGUUGGAAUAGUCAGUUCCUGGUUCAUAGGAGGUACUUAGGCAAAUCCGGGUACAUAAUCCAAGGGAUUGGGACGAGGGACUUAGGUCCUGAAGCAAUCGGAAGUGGUUCCAAGAAAAGCCUCUAAGCUUCAGUCAUACGAGACCGUACCGCAAACCGACACAGGUGGGCGAGAUGAGUAUUCUAAGGCGCUUGAGAGAACUCGGGAGAAGGAACUCGGCAAAUUGGUACCGUAACUUCGGGAAAAGGUACGCCCCGGUAGCUUGACUGCUUUACUGCAGAAGGGUGAAAGGGUUGCAAUAAACUGGUGGCUGCGACUGUUUAAUAAAAACACAGCACUCUGCAAACACGAAAGUGGACGUAUAGGGUGUGACGCCUGCCCGGUGCUGGAAGAUUAAAUGAUGGGGUGCAAGCUCUUGAUUGAAGUCCCAGUAAACGGCGGCCGUAACUAUAACGGUCCUAAGGUAGCGAAAUUCCUUGUCGGGUAAGUUCCGACCUGCACGAAUGGCGUAACGAUGGCCACACUGUCUCCUCCCGAGACUCAGCGAAGUUGAAAUGUUUGUGAUGAUGCAAUCUACCCGCGGCUAGACGGAAAGACCCCAUGAACCUUUACUGUAGCUUUGCAUUGGACUUUGAACCAAUCUGUGUAGGAUAGGUGGGAGGCUUUGAAACCGGGACGCCAGUUCCGGUGGAGCCAACCUUGAAAUACCACCCUGGUUCGUUUGAGGUUCUAACCUUGGCCCGUGAUCCGGGUCGGGGACAGUGCAUGGUAGGCAGUUUGACUGGGGCGGUCUCCUCCUAAAGUGUAACGGAGGAGUUCGAAGGUACGCUAGGUACGGUCGGACAUCGUGCUAAUAGUGCAAUGGCAUAAGCGUGCUUAACUGCGAGACCGACAAGUCGAGCAGGUACGAAAGUAGGACAUAGUGAUCCGGUGGUUCUGUAUGGAAGGGCCAUCGCUCAACGGAUAAAAGGUACUCUGGGGAUAACAGGCUGAUUCCUCCCAAGAGUUCAUAUCGACGGGGGAGUUUGGCACCUCGAUGUCGGCUCAUCACAUCCUGGGGCUGUAGCCGGUCCCAAGGGUAUGGCUGUUCGCCAUUUAAAGUGGUACGUGAGCUGGGUUUAAAACGUCGUGAGACAGUUUGGUCCCUAUCUGCCGUGGGCGUUGGAAAUUUGAAGGGGGCUGCUCCUAGUACGAGAGGACCGGAGUGGACGAACCUCUGGUGUACCGGUUGUCACGCCAGUGGCAUUGCCGGGUAGCUAAGUUCGGAAGAGAUAACCGCUGAAAGCAUCUAAGCGGGAAACUCGCCUUGAGAUGAGAUUUCCCGGAGCCUUGAGCUCCUUGAAGGGUCGUUCGAGACCAGGACGUUGAUAGGUCGGGUGUGGAAGUGCAGUAAUGCAUUAAGCUAACCGAUACUAAUUGCCCGUACGGCUUGUCCCU
rnacentral:rRNA from 1 species